rnacentral:rRNA from 1 species
GUGACGACGAGGCACCACGGUGCUGAAGCAACAAAUGCCCUGCUUCCAGGAAAAGCCUCUAAGCAUCAGGUAACAUCAAAUCGUACCCCAAACCGACACAGGUGGUCAGGUAGAGAAUACCAAGGCGCUUGAGAGAACCCGGGUGAAGGAACUAGGCAAAAUGGUGCCGUAACUUCGGGAGAAGGCACGCUGACACGUAGGUGAAGCGGUUUACCCGUGGAGCUGAAGUCAGUCGAAGAUACCAGCUGGCUGCAACUGUUUAUUAAAAACACAGCACUGUGCAAACACGAAAGUGGACGUAUACGGUGUGACGCCUGCCCGGUGCCGGAAGGUUAAUUGAUGGGGUCAGCGCAAGCGAAGCUCCUGAUCGAAGCCCCGGUAAACGGCGGCCGUAACUAUAACGGUCCUAAGGUAGCGAAAUUCCUUGUCGGGUAAGUUCCGACCUGCACGAAUGGCGUAAUGAUGGCCAGGCUGUCUCCACCCGGGACUCAGUGAAAUUGAACUCGCUGUGAAGAUGCAGUGUACCCGCGGCAAGACGGAAAGACCCCGUGAACCUUUACUAUAGCUUGACACUGAACACUGGUCCUUGAUGUGCAGGAUAGGUGGGAGGCUUUGAAGUGCGGACGCCAGUCUGCAUGGAGCCGUCCUUGAAAUACCACCCUUUAAUGGCUGGUGUUCUAACGUGGGCCCCUUAUCGGGGUUGCGGACAGUGUCUGGUGGGUAGUUUGACUGGGGCGGUCUCCUCCCAAAGAGUAACGGAGGAGCACGAAGGUUGGCUAAUCCUGGUCGGACAUCAGGAGGUUAGUGCAAUGGCAUAAGCCAGCUUGACUGCGAGCGUGACGGCGCGAGCAGGUGCGAAAGCAGGUCAUAGUGAUCCGGUGGUUCUGAAUGGAAGGGCCAUCGCUCAACGGAUAAAAGGUACUCCGGGGAUAACAGGCUGAUACCGCCCAAGAGUUCAUAUCGACGGCGGUGUUUGGCACCUCGAUGUCGGCUCAUCACAUCCUGGGGCUGAAGUAGGUCCCAAGGGUAUGGCUGUUCGCCAUUUAAAGUGGUACGCGAGCUGGGUUUAGAACGUCGUGAGACAGUUCGGUCCCUAUCUGCCGUGGGCGCUGGAAGAUUGAGGGGGGCUGCUCCUAGUACGAGAGGACCGGAGUGGACGCAUCACUGGUGUUCGGGUUGUCAUGCCAAUGGCACUGCCCGGUAGCUAAAUGCGGAAGAGAUAAGUGCUGAAAGCAUCUAAGCACGAAACUUGCCCCGAGAUGAAUCUUCCCUGAGACUUUGAGUCUCCUGAAGGAACGUUGAAGACGACGACGUUGAUAGGCCGGGUGUGUAAGCGCAGCGAUGCGUUGAGCUAACCGGUACUAAUGAACCGUGAGGCUUAACCUU